GACGAACGCUGGCGGCGUGCCUAAUACAUGCAAGUAGAACGCUGAAGGAGGAGCUUGCUUCUCCGGAUGAGUUGCGAACGGGUGAGUAACGCGUAGGUAACCUGCCUGGUAGCGGGGGAUAACUAUUGGAAACGAUAGCUAAUACCGCAUAAGAGUAGAUGUUGCAUGACAUUUGCUUAAAAGGUGCAAUUGCAUCACUACCAGAUGGACCUGCGUUGUAUUAGCUAGUUGGUGGGGUAACGGCUCACCAAGGCGACGAUACAUAGCCGACCUGAGAGGGUGAUCGGCCACACUGGGACUGAGACACGGCCCAGACUCCUACGGGAGGCAGCAGUAGGGAAUCUUCGGCAAUGGACGGAAGUCUGACCGAGCAACGCCGCGUGAGUGAAGAAGGUUUUCGGAUCGUAAAGCUCUGUUGUAAGAGAAGAACGAGUGUGAGAGUGGAAAGUUCACACUGUGACGGUAUCUUACCAGAAAGGCGGCUA
rnacentral:rRNA from 1 species